rnacentral:rRNA from 1 species
CCGAAAGGCAGGAGUGCCUGCAAGGGAGCGCGGAGACAGGUGGUGCAUGGCUGUCGUCAGCUCGUGUCGUGAGAUGUUGGGUUAAGUCCCGCAACGAGCGCAACCCUCACCUCUUGUUGCCAUCAGGUCAUGCUGGGCACUCUAGAGGAACUGCCCCGGUCAACGGGGAGGAAGGCGGGGAUGACGUCAAGUCAUCAUGCCCCUUACGUCCUGGGCUACACACGUGCUACAAUGGCCGGUACAAAGGGAUGCCACACCGCGAGGUAGAGCUAAACCCAAAAAGCCGGUCUAAGUUCGGAUUAGAGUCUGCAACUCGACUCCAUGAAGGAGGAAUCGCUAGUAAUCGCGUAUCAGCACGACGCGGUGAAUACGUUCCCGGGCCUUGUACACACCGCCCGUCACACCACGAAAGCCAG